CUAAUUCACUUUAAAGAAAAGUUGGCUAUGAAACAGGUUUCUAUCAAUUGAAUUUAAUGGGGUGAAUCAUAUUUUCCCAUUAAGUUCCACUUAAAAAUUUGUAAUAUAGAAUCAAAUUUGGCCUAUUGCUCAAAGAUGUCCCUAGACUACUUAUACUCAUUUAAGAAAAAGGUCUAUCUGUUCAAUUCAAACAACAAAAAAUGUAUUCCAAACAGGUCACAAAAUUGAAAUUCCAAAUAAGUCUUCCAAAUUCCAAAUUCUGCUACAUUGACAGCAGACCUAUAGUAAGGCAAAAGCCACCAAAAAUCACCUGGAAGAGCUAUUCUAGUUAAACAUAUACUUGCAGCUGAACAAACGGAGGGUAAAAAAGAACGAUCUACUUUUACAGCUGUUGACAUGGAAAAAAAAAGAAGCCAUCAUCAAAUAUUCCAGAAGUUGCCAAUUACUUGAUGCCUCAAGAGUAGCCAAUCUGGCUGGAGCAUGCAGGCAUACGCGAGGCACCACGCAUCAUCUUGAGUCACCAAAAAGAGCUGCAGAUGCAGUGUCCCAGAGAAAUUUUAAAACCUCAUGUAUGUUUACAUUAAAACCUAUGGAGUAAAGCCAAAAAUCAUAGGUAUCACUAAAGAACCUCAA